rnacentral:rRNA from 1 species
GACGAACGCUGGCGGCGUGCUUAACACAUGCAAGUCGAACGAUGAAGCCCAGCUUGCUGGGUGGAUUAGUGGCGAACGGGUGAGUAACACGUGGGCAACCUGCCCCAAACUCUGGGAUAACUCCUCGAAAGAGGUGCUAAUACCGGAUACGAACUAGACAGACAUCUGUACUAGUUGGAAAGUUUUUCGGUUUGGGAUGGGCCCGCGGCCUAUCAGCUUGUUGGUGAGGUAACGGCUCACCAAGGCUACGACGGGUAACCGGCCUGAGAGGGCGACCGGUCACACUGGGACUGAGACACGGCCCAGACUCCUACGGGAGGCAGCAGUGGGGAAUAUUGCGCAUUGGGCGAAAGCCUGACGCAGCGACGCCGCGUGAGGGAUGAAGGUCUUCGGAUCGUAAACCUCUUUCAGUAGGGACGAAGCGAAAGUGACGGUACCUAAAGAAGAAGCACCGGCUAACUACGUGUCAGCCGCCGCAGUAA